GCGAACGCUGGCGGCAGGCUUAACACAUGCAAGUCGAGCGGGCGUAGCAAUACGUCAGCGGCAGACGGGUGAGUAACGCGUGGGAACAUACCUUUUGGUUCGGAACAACACAGGGAAACUUGUGCUAAUACCGAAUAAGCCCUUACGGGGAAAGAUUUAUCGCCAAAAGAGUAGCCCGCGCUGGAUUAGCUAGUUGGUGAGGUAAUGGCUCACCAAGGCGACGAUCCAUAGCUGGUCUGAGAGGACGAUCAGCCACACUGGGACUGAGACACGGCCCAGACUCCUACGGGAGGCAGCAGUUAGGAAUAUUGGACAAUGGGGGCAACCCUGAUCCAGCCAUGCCGCGUGAGUGAUGAAGGCCUUCAGGUUGUAAAGCUCUUUAGCCGAUGAUUAUAAUGACUGUAGUCGGAAAAUAAGCCCCGGCUAACUUCGU
rnacentral:rRNA from 1 species